CAAUAGCGUAUAUUAAAAUUGUUGCGGUUAAAAAGCUCGUAGUCUAAAUUUGAUUGUGUACGUGCACCAAAACAAUUUGUUUCGGUGACAUAGUAUGCAAUUUAUCUUUGCAAAAGAUAUUAUUACUUUAAGGAAAUUAGAGUGUUUAAAGCAAGCUCAUGUUUUGAAUAACGUAGCAUGGAAUAAUGGUAUAAGACUCUGGUCUUAUUUCAUUGGUUUUAGAGACUGGAGUAAUGAUUAAUGGGAACAGUCGGGGCGAUUCGUAUUUAACUGUCAGAGGUGGAAUUCUUGGAUUUGUUAAAGACGAACAACUGCGAAAGCAUUUGCCAAGAAUGUCUUCAUUGAUCAAGAACGAAAGUUAGGGGAUCGAAGACGAUCAGAUACCA
rnacentral:rRNA from 1 species